GUGUGUGUGUGCGUAGGUGUGGGUGAGAUGGACCUGUCCAAUCAGCUGCGGGCGUACGAGGUGGAGUACCACGUCUUACAGGACGAGCUGGUGUGACACGCCCGCCACCUCAACCAAUCGCAGGCGACGCGCCCAGCUGGAACGCACCAAUCAGAGCCUCCGACAGCAAAACACUCGACCUGCUGGAGGAACUGCAGGUGUCCCAGGCUCGUGUGUGUCGUCUGGAAGGGCAGGUGGAGGGGCUGGUCCAAUCAGAGGCUCUGCUGAGAGAACAGGUGUUUGAGCUGGAGGAGAAGAGGAGUGGACUGCGGACCUCCGUCACACACCUACACACACUCCUCACCUCGCUGGGAAUACACACACACACGGCCCACGGAGACUUCAACCUGGACCCGCACACACACUCCUCUACCGACACAGACGGACCGAGAGACGGACCGAGAGACGGACCGAGAGACGGACCGAGAGACGGACCGAGAGAUGGACAGGGUGUGGAUGUCCCCACCAGAGAGGGACCCAGACUGGGGCAAGGGACAGCGAUGUCCUCCCCUCUCCUCCCUCAUCCACUGGCUCUACCAGAACACUGAAUACUCUCCCAGAGGACUGUUCUCCUGUAGAAAUGGGGGGAGGGAUUUCUCUGUCCUCUCUGGGCCUAAACUCCACACAACAGUCCUAUACACACAGUUACUGUUGCAGCUGGAUGUGUGUGUGUCAGUGUGUGUGUGUGUGUGUGUGGAGAUGGUUUAAUGCACAGUCCUUGACAUAGGACACAUCUUAUUCACUAUAUAGGCAACAAAAAGCGGUCUGAGGGAUUGCAUCUCCGUUUGCAAAGAGGUGUCACUUACAGUCCCUGGUUCGAAUCCAGGCUGUAUCACAUCCGGCCGGGAUUGGGAGUCCCGUAGGGGGGGGUUGGCCCAGCGUCGUCCGGAUUUGGCCGUCAUUGUAAAUAAGAGUUUGUUCUUAACUGACUUGCCAAGAUCAAUAAAUAAAAAGAGUCACAACAACCAAA